rnacentral:misc_RNA from 1 species
AAUUCUCAACCAUUGUCAACUUUUGCUGAUAAUGGCUUGGAUGUGGGGGUCUAUUUUGCUGGCUUCUCAGAUAGUCAGCUCCCCUUAAAUGCAUUAGCUGGUGCCCCGCGUGGACUGUCUAUUGGUGUGAUAAUUAUCUACGCUAUAGACAUCUGCAAUCAUAUGGGUUUGCACUGCUUCUAAUCGUCUGUUCAAUCAGACAAUACAUGACAA